GCUAAACACUUUAUUUUCACUAUUAUUAAUUUUCACUAUUUUACUAUCAACAUUACUAGCAUUACUUUAUCACAAAUUUUAAAAUGGUUCGUCGUCAUUUUAUUUUCGGAUUUAUGCUCAUUAAAUUAAUUAUACUUUAUCAAGUCUUUUAUUUUUUACAUAUUAAUUUUACAUAGUAUAUGGUGUACUAGUCAUUAAAUUAGAAGCCCAAUGGAAUUUAUAUGGAGGAAGAAUUUCAGCCAAAUAAAUGGCCCAAUUAAUCAGCCCACUUGUUUAAAUUCCACCAUCCCCACAUUUUAAAUCUAUUAUCCCUUCCGCCCAUUUUCGCCAAAAACCCGUCAGCCCACAAAUACUUUCAAUGACCCAGCCCAUUAUACUCUACCUGACCCGGCCCAAUCGACAUCUCAUCUUCUAAACAAAAGAAAACCUAAUGGCAGCCGCAGCCCUCUUCAUCCCUCUUUUACCUCUUCUCUCUUCCCCCUUUUUACAUGAAAUAAACCCUAAUCCCUUUCAAAUCUUGAACGCCGCCAGCUCAUCUAAAUCGAUUUUUGGCAAAGAUUCGUCUGCAUUUCAUGUUACCAGUGCUGUUUGCCCAUUUCGGGUAACACAUUUAAUGUUGUUGUCUUCAUCCUCUCCAUUUAACGACUCCAACACAGAAAAGUGAAUCCUCUUUCCCCUCCAUCUUCAGAAAAGCUCAGUCUCCCUUUCGCACUCACAGAUUUGUUUACACCCAUUUGCGUGCAAGAUUUGUAUCCUUAUGCGAAUGACGAUACCAGCAUAAAUCUCUGCUUUUUCAGCCAUGUCUGAGCCGAAUCACGUGACCACCUGAAACACUUUCAACGUUCAGAUUUGAACGGGCCAUUUUGACUCGAUUUGAAUCCGAUACCGAAAGUCCCGCCCAAUUUCGAAUCCAAAAAACCUAAACAUUCUACUAUAAAUGUUCGUUUUCGUUACCCAUUUGGGGGAGCUCUUUUCAGCCGCCUCAAAAUUUCUAUAUUUCUCAUCACUAUUAUCUCGGUGAUGUGCAUUUAAAAUAUUGAGGGUUUUAUAAAAUAUAACUGGGUUUCAACAAAAAUCCAAUUUUCAGUUGCGACUUCCCUUGAGUCUACAUUUAGUCUACGUUUUUUUUUUUUUCUGUUUUUGUUGAGUUCGGGUUCGUCGUGAUCGAGCGAAGAUCCGUGAUCCCGCACCUCAGUUCACUGCACCCACGAGAGCCAAAGAGUUUCACUUCGAAACUCAACGACACCGCUUAUGGAGUCUGUGUAUCGUUCACUGUCUGCGCCCCAAUCUUGCUUGAACCGAAAAUCACGGAACAUCUCAAUCUCUUGUGAAAGUCAAAAAAUGGCUUUUAACCUUUAUAUCAUCUUCGUCAUUUCGUUUUCAUUCUCUGAUAUUUUUUUUAUAUGUUUGGUGUGACUAACAUCUGUUUGUAUGAUUAUUUGCUGAGGUUUAAGCUGCUAAAUUUUAAGACUAA